rnacentral:rRNA from 1 species
AUUGAACGCUGGCGGCAGGCCUAACACAUGCAAGUCGAGCGGAUGAAGGGAGCUUGCUCCUGGAUUCAGCGGCGGACGGGUGAGUAAUGCCUAGGAAUCUGCCUGGUGUGGGGGGUAACGGCCGGGAACCGGCCCUAAUUCCGCCUACGGUCCUAGGGGGGAAGGGGGGGAUCUUUGGGCCUCACGCUUUCCAAUGAGCCUAGGUCGGAUUAGCUAGUUGGUGGGGUAAAGGCCUACCAAGGCGACGAUCCGUAACUGGUCUGAGAGGAUGAUCAGUCACACUGGAACUGAGACACGGUCCAGACUCCUACGGGAGGCAGCAGUGGGGAAUAUUGGACAAUGGGCGAAAGCCUGAUCCAGCCAUGCCGCGUGUGUGAAGAAGGUCUUCGGAUUGUAAAGCACUUUAAGUUGGGAGGAAGGGCAGUAAGUUAAUACCUUGCUGUUUUGACGUUACCAACAGAAUAAGCACCGGCUAACUUCGUG